ACGGAAGCUUGGGGAGGCCAAGGCCGAGCCGGAAGAGAAGGCUCGGACUCCCGAACCAAGCUCCUAGCGCGGAUCCCGGCACCCACGCGGAGCACACGCCGCGAAAUAGGCAGAAGUGUUGCGGGCCUGCGUAUUUGCGAAGAGCGGACGGCGGGAAUUUCCCUGACGACCCUUUGGGUGGGGUUGCAGCCGCAGCGCAUCGACAAAACGCCGAGGCCACCCACGCAGCCGACUGAGCACGCUUGGUAACCGGUGUCCGUGCUAGCGGGCGGCGAGCCGAAUCACUUCGGAGCGCCGCCCGCUUCAUUUU
rnacentral:ncRNA from 1 species